rnacentral:piRNA from 7 species
GCAUCGGUGGUUCAGUGGUAGAAUGC